rnacentral:RNase_P_RNA from 2 species
CCGGGGAGCCGGGCAGCCGCGGGGUUCUAAUCCGAGCAAUCGGAAGCGAACCGCGAGGAAAGUCCGGGCUCCACGAAACAAGGGUGGCGGGUAACGCCCGCCGGGCGAGCCGGGUUUUCAGACCUGGCGAAGCCUAGGGAAAGUGCCACAGAGAGCAGACCGCCAACCGCUCACCCCAAGCUUGUCGAAGGGUGGCGGAGGUAAGGGUGAAAGGGUGCGGCAAGAGCGCACCGCGCUGCCGGUAACGGUAAGCGGCAUGGCAAACCCCACCCGGAGCAAGACCGAAUAGGGGCUGCGCGCCGUCUUGAACGGCGGGUUCGUUUCGGACCCAGGCAGCCCGGGUUGGUCGCUUGAGCGAUGCAGCAAUGUAUCGCCUAGAGGAAUGGCUGCCGCCGCGGCGUAAGGUCCCUCAGGCUUCGGCCAUAUGGGAGACCACGCCAGGUACAGAACCCGGCUUACAGGCUCCCCGGCGCG